rfam:Triticum urartu cultivar G1812 contig701614, whole genome shotgun sequence.
GUGAGCCGUGUGAUGGGAAACCUUCCCGCACGGUUCGGAGAGCACUGAAGACGAAUGAGAGGUUCACCACCACAUCAUUGCAAGGGGAGCUCGCUCGAUUCGCAGAUUGACCUGACUCGUAAUUCACUUUUGACUCUAU